rnacentral:ncRNA from 1 species
GCCGAUAAAGGUAAACCCGGGGAAACCCGGGGGCACAAAACUACAGACCUACGUCGCUAAAGACCGGGAAGGCCCCUUGAUAGGGCACUAAAAGAUGAUAAAAGGUCGGUAAGUGAUAGGGUGGCUGAGUUGCCGAAG